GCAAGUCGAGGGGUAACAGGGAGCUUGCUCCGCUGACGACCGGCGCACGGGUGCGUAACGCGUAUACAAUCUGCCUUACACUGAGGGACAGCCUUUGGAAACGAAGAUUAAUACCCCAUAGUAUCAUUGAAUGGCAUCAUUUAAUGAUUAAAGGUCACGGUGUAAGGUGAGUAUGCGUCCUAUUAGCUUGUUGGUAAGGUAACGGCUUACCAAGGCGACGAUAGGUAGGGGCCCUGAGAGGGGGAUC
rnacentral:rRNA from 1 species